rnacentral:rRNA from 1 species
ACGUCAAGUCCUCAUGGCCCUUAUGCCCAGGGCGUACACACGUGCUACAAUGGGCGGUACAAAGGGUAGCGAUGCCGCGAGGGCGAAGCCAAUCCCAAAAAGCCGUCCUCAGUUCGGAUUGGAGUCUGCAACUCGACUCCAUGAAGCCGGAAUCGCUAGUAAUCGCGGAUCAGCAUGCCGCGGUGAAUACGUUCCCGGGCCUU